GGGCCUGUGGCGAAAUUGGUAGACGCACUAGACUUAGGAUCUAGCGCCUUUGGUGUGAGAGUUCGAGUCUCUCCGGGCCCA
rnacentral:tRNA from 2 species